AUUGAACGCUGGCGGCAUGCCUUACACAUGCAAGUCGAACGGUAACGGGCCUUCGGGUGCCGACGAGUGGCGAACGGGUGAGUAAUGUAUCGGAACGUACCUUUCAGUGGGGGAUAACGUAGCGAAAGUUACGCUGAUACCGCAUAUUCUGUGAGCAGGAAAGCAGGGGAUCGCAAGACCUUGCGCUGAUUGAGCGGCCGAUAUCAGAUUAGCUAGUUGGUGAGGUAAAGGCUCACCAAGGCGACGAUCUGUAGCGGGUCUGAGAGGAUGAUCCGCCACACUGGAACUGAGACACGGUCCAGACUCCUACGGGAGGCAGCAGUGGGGAAUUUUGGACAAUGGGGGCAACCCUGAUCCAGCCAUGCCGCGUGAGUGAAGAAGGCCUCGG
rnacentral:rRNA from 1 species